UGCAGUAUCAGUCCCCAGGAGAACACGUGCAAAGUAGUCGGGGUGCUUGCAUGCUGCAUGCAGCAUCCCCAAAUGAGUAUUGCAGCGUGGAAAUGCAACAAGGACUUUGCAAUAUCCUCAGGACACCGCAUGCAAAGCACUCGUUGUGUUUGCACGGAGCAAUAUCCGUGCUUGCUUGUUGCAUGCAACAUGCUCCAUGCGUUUGCGUGGUGCAAUAUCUGCAAGGUGUUGCACGCAAAAUGCCUGGUGUAUUCACAAGGUGCAAUAUUCGUCCUUGGGAUCUUGCAUGCAAAAUGCUUGGUGCAUUCACAAGGUGCAAUGCUCACCCUCGGGACCCUGCAUGCAAAAUGCUUGGUGCAUUCACAAGGUGCAAUGCUCACCCUCGGGAUCUUGCAUGCAAAAUGCUUGGUGCACAUAACGCUUUGCAAUGCAUGCAACCCCGGUGCAUUUCCACCCACCCCUCAGCUAAUUGCCCCCCCUUUCUCCUGCAGCAUUACCCUGCCCGGAAAACAGCCACUACGAAGCUUGUGGCAACGCCUGCCCGGCCACUUGCACCAACCGGGACGCGCCCUCCUCUUGCACCCAGCCCUGCGUGGAGACCUGCGCUUGCAACCCUGGCUACGUCCUCAGCGGUGGCCAGUGCGUGGCGGUGGCCGACUGCGGUUGCACCCGCGACGGCCGCUACUACCAAGCCGGCGAGGAAUUUUGGGACGACGAGACCUGCCAUUCCCGGUGCAGGUGCGACCCGGUUUUGGGCAUGGUGGUGUGCAAGGAGGCCAGCUGCAAGGCGGGCGAGCAGUGCGCCGUGGUGAAGGGCGUGCGGCGCUGCGUGGCCAAGGGUCGCUCCAUCUGCGUGGCCACCGGGGACCCCCACUACACCACCUUCGACGGGCGCCGCUACGACUUCAUGGGCACCUGCGUCUACCAGUUCGCUGCCCUCUGCUCCGAAGACCCCACCCUUGUCCCCUUCGUGGUCACGGUGGAGAACAACAACCGGGGCAGCCGCGUGGUCUCCUACACCAAGGAGGUCACCUUGAAGGUCUACAACAUGACCCUCAGCCUCAGCCAAGCAGACCCCCAGAAGCUCAAGGUCAACGGGAUCCUGGUGGACCUCCCCUUCAGCCACGGCACCCAGCUCCGCGCCUACAUCAGCGGCGUCCACGGCUUCCUCAAGACCGACUUCGACGUCAUCGUCACCUUCGACUGGCACAGCUACGCCAGGGUCAUCCUCCCCAGCACCUACGCGCGCUCCGUCUGCGGGCUCUGCGGCAACGCCGACGGGAACCCCGAGGACGACUUCGCUUUGCCCGACGGCACCUCGGCCAGCGACGAGGUCCAAUUCGCCGACGCCUGGAAGGUGGCCGACGUCCCCGGCUGCUCUGCCGGCUGCACCAAGGAUUGCCAAGUUUGCAGCGAGGCGGAGAAGCGCGCCUACCGCGGCGACAAGCACUGCGGGGUCCUGGUGAAGAAGCAAGGUCCCUUCGCCGCCUGCCACGGCGCCAUCGACCCGGCUCCCUACUUUGACGACUGCCUCUUCGACACUUGCCUCUACAAGGGGCACCAGGAAACCGUCUGCAGCGCCGUCAGCGCCUACGUCACCGCCUGCCAGAGCCAGGGGAUUCGCGUCGAGCCGUGGCGCACGGCCGCCUUCUGCAGUACGUGGGGCUCGGCGCGGGGAGAUCCGCUGGGGUUGGGAAGGGGGGUGUGCAUGGGGGAAUUGGGGUGUGCAUGCAUGGAGGGAUUUGGGUUUGCAUGGAGGAAUUGGGGCGUGCAUGCACGGAGGGAUUUGGGUUUGCAUGCACAAAGGGAUUUGGGGUCUACAUGAAAAGUCUGGGGUUUGCAUGCAUGAUUUGGGCUCACAUUUCUGCAGGAUUUGGGAAUUGCGGGAAGGGAUUUGGGUUUGCGUUUCUGCAAGGUUUGGGAACUGCAAGAGGGUUUGGGGGGGGGUUGCAUUUCUGGAAUGUUUUGGAAUUGUAAAAAGGGAUUUGGGACUCACAUUUCUGCAGGGUUUUAGAAUUGCAGGAAAGGAUUUGGGUUUGCAUUUCUGCAGGGAUUUAGGAUUGCAGAAAGGGAUUUGGGCUCACAUUUCUGGGGUUUUUUGGAAUUGCAUGAAGGAAUUUAGGUUUGCAUUUCUGCAAGGAUAAGGGAUUGCAGGAAGGGAUUUGGGGCUUGCAUUUCUGAAGGGUUUGGGGAUUGCAUGAAGGAAUUUUGGGUUACAUUUCUGCAGGGUUUUGGAAUUGCAGGAAGGGAUUUGGGCUCACAUUUCUGCAAGGUUUAGGGGUUGCAGAAGGGGAUUCAGGGCUUGCAUUUUUGCAUGUUUUUGGAAUUGCAGGAAGGGAUUUGGGGUUGCAUUUCUGCAAUGUUUUGGAAUUGCAGGAAGGGAUUUGGUGUUGCAUUUCUGCAAUGUUUUGGAAUUGCAAGAAGGGAUUUGGGACUCAAGUUUCUGCAGGGAUUUGGGAUUUCAGGGAGGGAUUUGGGCUCACAUUUUUGGGGUGUUUUGGAAUUGCAGGAAGGAAUUUGGGUU
rnacentral:lncRNA from 1 species